rnacentral:misc_RNA from 1 species
GAUAGGCAACGAGAGGCGGUGGUGGCGGUGAUACUGGAGGGGAUGCCUAUCUCGGAGGUGGCGAAGCGCAUGGGCACGAAUCCAAACGCCCUCUACAAGCUGCUGCAUGACGCCCGCAGAAAGCUGAAGAGGCGGAUGGAGGCUACGGGCUUCUCGCCACAAGAAGUGCUGGCGGCGUUUGAGGAGGGGUAAGAUCCGGAGGGUACGGCGGGUCUAGCCGUUAGAAGCGAGGAAGGGGUUUUUAUGCUGAAGCGUGGUGAUGUCGUCAAACUGGUGAGGGUCGUAGCUGAAACCCGCGAGACCGAGAUCGGCUGCGACGAGUGCUUCGAGCAAUUGGAUAGUUUUGCGGAGCUGAGGCGCUCAGGAGUGGAGGCGAGCAGUGGGAUGCCGCUGGUGGGUGAUC